rnacentral:rRNA from 1 species
UACGUAGGAGGCAAGCGUUGUCCGGAAUCACUGGGCGUAAAGCGCGUGUAGGCGGAUCGCUAAGUCUGUGGUGAAAGCGCCUGGCUUAACCGGGCGAGGUCCAUGGAAACUAGCGGUCUGGAGGCCGGUAGAGGGGGGGUGGAAUUCCGGGUGUAGUGGUGAAAUGCGUAGAUAUCGAGAGGAACACCAGUGGCGAAGGCGAGUCCCUGGACAACACCUGACACUGAGGCACGAAAGCUAGGGGAGCAAACAGG